GCCUAUAAUCAUGUAUAUUACCCUUGUUCUUGUUACAGUUUUGUGUAUUGUAAUAUGGCGAAGCUAAUAAAUAAAUAAAUAAUAAAUAAAUGCUAGGCUAAACAAAUUAGCGAUGGAGUUGUGGUAUUUACAUAAACAUAUACCAUGUAAGUACUUAACUGAAAAUUCAGUCUAUCUACAGCAUAAUGUAACGCUGUAUAUCCAAAAAUCUGUUUCAGAAAACGCACGAAAUGCAGCUUUAGGGGUGGAAAAAUAUUAUUAUUACAUACGACCCCACACUAAACUUUUUGUCACCAACACCCUUCUGUCAUCUCUCCACACUCAGGAUAGUAUGGUCCCUUUUUUAAACCUCCCCCAGCCCCCCCCCCCCCAGCACGGACGAAUUCUUAAAAUAGAAUGAGAUUGUGCGAGGCGCCAACAAUAUUCGAAUUUAAAACAAUUUUAAAUUUAAUUUACCAGCUGGUGUCCACCUUGCAUAGGUGUAAACUUCAACUUUUGAUUCUUGUUUUAAAUAUCGCCACAACCUCAGUUCGUUUGACAGCUGCAAGAAUAUUCUCAUGCACAGUUUAAGAAAGAUAUCGAGGUAGGAAAAGUUUCUAAUUGUUUCGGACAGUUGGGAUGUAUAUAUAUAUAUAUAUAUAUAUAUAUAUAUAUUAGUGGUCAGGAACAUUUUAUUACAAUUCAAAUAAAUAUAUAUAUUCAUCUGCUAUGUAUGCUUUGCGCAUUUGAAUCUAAUAUCUCCGUAAGCCGAUUUCCACUACACAACUUUUGCCUAAAACUGUCCAUGCAACCUGCUUACAACUUGAGUUGUACUGUGUAAAUUAAGCACACAACUUACCUGCGACAACGCAGACGAGGUGCGGGCUUGAUUUACACAGUACAAUUAAAUUAAGUUCUAAACAGGUUGCAUUGUAUGCAACAGUCGCGGGUUCAAGACCCAGCCGCAGCAGGCAAUAUCUUUCUGCUUGUGCGCGGUCUGGAAAUUAUG